GCCCCCGUAGCUCAGUCUGGACAGAGCAUCGGACUUCUAUUCCGCUGGCCGCAGGUUCGAAUCCUGCCGGGGGUGCAA
rnacentral:tRNA from 1 species